rnacentral:lncRNA from 1 species
AUCAGAAAUGAAAUAAUUCACAAAAAAUAUUAAAUGGAAUCACAAAAAUAAUUAAAAAUCAUUUUAUGAAACUAGAAUUUAAGAGAGAAAUUUUGCAAUUGGUCCCAUAUUUUUGUGAUUCCAAAUAAAGAAGUUAUGAAUUUUUGAAAAUAAAUGGAAAUAAAGAAAAAAAACAGAAAUUAAUAAAAGAGAAAACUCCAGAGGCGUC